AGUAUUUGUUACACUUAAUUGGAGCGUAGGAAGUAGAAAGGAAGUGUGAGAUUGGGUGCAUGUGGCAUGGGUUUCAGAAAAUACACAAGAACCCACGCCGCAGUUAUAGCCACCGACUACUGACUCAGAAUAAACUAACACACCCCAUUCUGAUUUCUGAUUCUACCAUUCAUUAUCAGCCAUCUCAUUUUUUAUACUCUUUUCUCAAUACCCUCUGAAAAAAUAUAAAGGAAAGCCACUAAUUUUUUAUGUAAAAGUUCACCAACUGCUGCUCAUCAUCUUUCUCCAUAUUGCUUUGCUUUUUAUGCUGGGGAAAGGGAAUAAAGCCACUUUUAAAAGUCGCUCACUCACACCCACUUGAGAAAAGAAGAUACUUGAUCCCUUUGCCCCUGCAAAUACCAGUUUGAAACAAGACUCUUUCUAAAGGCAUGCCAAAUUGGGAGCUGAAGCAUUGUUGCAAGCAUGAACAAGUCGUUUUUCUCGCCACUCUCGGCGUUUGCUCCGUUGUCAUUCUUGCUCUUUGGAGGACAGUGCUACUACUACCUUUCAAGCUUGUUACCGUGUUUAUUCAUGAAGCUAGUCAUGCUAUAGCGUGCAAACUUACUUGCGGCCAUGUUGAGGGGAUACAGGUUCAUGCUGACGAAGGUGGUACUACCCAAACACGUGGUGGCGUAUAUUGGUUCAUCUUGCCAGCUGGAUAUCUUGGUUCAGCAUUUUGGGGAAUGGUUUUAGUGCUCGCAUCCACCAAGCUCCUUACAGCAAGAAUUGCAGCAGGAUGUUUAGUGGUCACUCUAAUUGUUGUUCUUUUUGUGGCUAAAAAUUGGACACUCCGGGGCCUUUGUAUUGGAUUUAUUAUCUUCCUUGGUGUUGUAUGGAUUCUGCAAGAAACAACAAAGAUUAAAAUUCUGCGGUACAUCAUUCUGUUCAUUGGUGUAAUGAACAGCUUAUUUUCUGUGUAUGAUAUCUACGAUGAUCUGAUAUCACGAAGAGUACACCACAGUGAUGCUGAGAAGUUUGCUGAAGUGUGUCCCUGUCCUUGUACUGGUGUUGGCUGGGGGAUCAUCUGGGGACUCAUUUCUUUCUUGUUUCUCUGUGGAGCCACAUAUCUUGGUUUAGUGAUCUUGUCUUGAGGUGUUUCUACUCACUCCUAUGUGCAUGCGCGUCUUGGGCAGGGUGGUUUGGGAAUGGGCAAUGUGGUUUUUAUUCUAUAGCCAGUCACCAUCAUAAGCUAUUAGUUCUUCCAAGGUAGUUCGAAUUGAACCAGCCUCUUCUUGGAUGAGAAGUUGGAUUACUGCAGCACUUACAAUUACAAACAUAUACGGAUGCUGCAGGAGCACUUGCAUCGUACAUUUCCUCAUUAGGCAUCAGUCAUAGCUUCAUUCGAUUUGUCUUUAACAUUAUACUGUUGUACAUAUCAGUUUAACAUAGUUUCUUCACGGAACUAGUAGCUUUCUAAUUUUGGAUAUUUUUGUUGGAGUCACAAUACAAUUAUGUCAA